rnacentral:lncRNA from 1 species
AAUUAAUUUCAAAACAAAUACAUCUAGUAUUCAAUGUCAUCACCACCAAUACAUAAUAAAACAUCCCAAAUAAAAAAGAAAAAAAUUCCAAAAUAUAAAACAAUACUUAAAUCCCAAUUAAACUCCAAGAAAAGCAAUUCAAAUUCCAGCCACCAAGCCAAGUUACCCAACAAAACUUCCAAAAAUUAAUGAAAAUAUUCAAACAACAAGACUUCUAGCAAGACUCCAGCAAAACUUCCAGCACCAAUACCAUCUUCCAAUAGCACUCUAAUUCCAGCAUCAAACAAGGUAAAAGUCACAGAUGAAACUUGUAUGAGCAAAAUUGUCCAUGUUAAUAAAGAGUAGCUGCUGCUCUUUCUGCUGCUGUAAAAGAGCCGCAUUACGGUCUGUCAGCUUAGGAAAAAUGGCAAAAGUAAUUCUAGCAUGUAUUUUCUAUCCAGCAGGGCCAAAUCCACAUCCUUAGGGGCUAAGAUAUCGAAUGAGAUAAUAAAUAAGUAAAAGGUAAAUCCGAGGGAUGCUAAAACAAAAGUAAACCUAAAACUACAGGGAGAAAGAACCUCAUUUCCCAUUACUAAGAGUAGUAUAAGAUGUAACUGCAAUUGAUGCUGCAUGCAUUAUUUGUCUUUUAGAUUGCACAUGUGAUGAUCAUGCUUCAUCCCUUUCCUUUUUAUUCUAGUAAUUACACGACAAGCAACAUCAUGUUGAGGACAAAUCAAUAUGCCAAUUCGUAUUUUCUGGAUAAAUACAUUUUAUAGAGAUAACAGCAAGCCUAUAAACUAAUUAUCUAUAAAUCAAAUUAUUUAGCAGCAACCUCACAUUUCCAUUAACUUCAGCUAGCACAAUAUAGUAUGUACAUCAAUACAACCAAACAGAUGAUAUGUAUCAUAUACACUAAAUGUCCGAUAUAGCAGGCAUAGCCUCAAGUGCUAUUACCUAGUACAAUGCAUGACUUAGCUCUUGCCUUGCUGUAUGAUGUUG